rnacentral:rRNA from 1 species
UGGGGAAUAUUGCACAAUGGGCGCAAGCCUGAUGCAGCCAUGCCGCGUGUAUGAAGAAGGCCUUCGGGUUGUAAAGUACUUUCAGUCGUGAGGAAGGUGGUGUAGUUAAUAGCUGCAUUAUUUGACGUUAGCGACAGAAGAAGCACCGGCUAACUCCGUGCCAGCAGCCGCGGUAAUACGGAGGGUGCGAGCGUUAAUCGGAAUUACUGGGCGUAAAGCGCAUGCAGGUGGUUUGUUAAGUCAGAUGUGAAAGCCCGGGGCUCAACCUCGGAAUAGCAUUUGAAACUGGCAGACUAGAGUACUGUAGAGGGGGGUAGAAUUUCAGGUGUAGCGGUGAAAUGCGUAGAGAUCUGAAGGAAUACCGGUGGCGAAGGCGGCCCCCUGGACAGAUACUGACACUCAGAUGCGAAAGCGUGGGGAGCAAACAGGAUUAGAUACCCCCGUAGUCC